UACGGAGGGUGCAAGCGUUAUCCGGAUUUACUGGGUUUAAAGGGUGUGUAGGCGGACUUUUAAGUCAGCGGUGAAAUCUCCGGGCUCAACCCGGAAACUGCCAUUGAUACUGGCAACCUAGAGACUGGAAGAGGUUAGUGGAAUUCCCAGUGUAGAGGUGAAAUUCGUAGAUAUUGGGAAGAACACCAGUGGCGAAGGCGGCUAACUGGUCCAGCACUGACGCUGAGGUGCGAAAGCGUGGGGAGCAAACAGG
rnacentral:rRNA from 1 species